rnacentral:lncRNA from 1 species
AAUCUUCUAUUAAACAAGGUAACAAUGGUCUUACUGCUAAAUCCUAAAUCAAUUGGGCAGUAUCAAUGGCUCUAUCUUUUCAUAUAAGGGUUCCUUGGGUUCCCUUGAUACAUUGUUUUCAUAGUUAUGUUUAUUUUGUCUAUGUAUGCUUUCUAUAUAUGGUUACAUGUGUGUGGUGUUGAAUGUUGAAGAGUUGAGACGAGAUGAGGGAUGGUGAUGGAAAUGUAUUUUCUACAUUUAUUGUUACUAGUUCGUGUAGCCAUUUAAUGUUUUUGAGCUAUAAUCAUAAGGGAGAAAGCUCAUAAGAAGAAAGAAGAAGAGAAGAGAAGAGAAGCCUCACAUGUAGAUAAUUUUAAACGGACAUAAAUUGGCGUCAAAAUGUUAUCUAACAUUUUUUGCUUACUUAUCUUUAUGCACCUGUGCAGAGAAAUCUGCUAUGUCAUGAUUCUCAUGAAUAAGACUACCAUAGCUUGAUAAAAAUAUGCAAAUAUCCUAAUAUCAUCGUAUGAAUCUCAAUCUGCCAUAUACAUGUUUUGCCGUCAAUAUUUGAGAAGUAGUUCACUUUAUCUUUGUUUUCUUAUUCAUGAGAGAAUUUGAGUUGACAAGGAGUAACUUGAAGCAAAGAAGUUUGACUCACCUAGUUGUCUCACAUCCUAUGUUUUAAUUUGAAUGCAGCCAACUACAAUAAAAUUCUGCUUCCUUUUGCAGGUUGUUAUCUUUGAGAAAAGAAGCGAAAUAGGAAGAGAGAAGAGCUAGAGAGAAAAUCAAACAAAAGUUGGAUGAACAGAAGGUUUAGACUUUUUAAAUUGUUUUCCUAUCUUAGCUAAUUUAUUCAUAACAUUUUUGUUUAUUUUGAUGGUAAGACAUGAAUACAUUUAUGAUUUAUGUAUGCCAUUUAAAAUCCAACUCACAAUUCAACGAUCUUAGUAAUUUUGUUCUCUGCAUUUUCCUUUGGUGUCCUAUAUGAAGGCCUUAAAAUGUGCAGGGUGCAUGAUAUUUGAUAAUGUUAGUACCUUGACUUUUAGCUAUUUACAUUUUUCUUGGUUUUAAAUCCAUGUUUUUUAGCGAUUUUCUUGGUGCACAAUGUGACUGUUGGUUGUCUUAAUUAGGCCUUUCAUUCUCUUUGGUGUACAUCCCUUUCAUUCUUGGUUCUCUAUUUUCUGUUAUAUUUUAUCUUUAGUCCACAACUUCUUCUAUUUUCUGACCAUACUUUUGUCUUAAACUAGCUCAUGGAAGUAGAAUAACAUCACACGCAAACAUUUAUCUACGAUACUAGGAGAACUUGUAUUCACCACGAGUUGUUGGUUCUUCAGGAAUUCAAUGUUUCCCAUGUUCAUUUAUAAAGUGUUAGCAUAUUUCAUAAUGUGACUCCUCUGGAGCCUAUAAACAUGGAAUUCAACUUAUGCCAAUGUCUAUUUGUUUUUCUGCUGCUUUAAUACAGGCUGAAAUCAACGCAUUUAAGAAGAAAGUUUCACAAAUUGAUGUCUUGAAGGAGCAAAUUGAAUUUCUAAUGCAAAUGCAAAAUGCUACCGAAAACUAGGUAAAAUUUCAUUCUAGUUCAUCACAAGCUUAAUCAGAAUACUAAUUAUAAUAUUUACAAUUGGUCCAAAUGUUUUAAGUUCUGAUUUAUGUUAUGUUAUAGAGCACAUUUCAAUUGUAAAACAUGAUUUUGCAAAAGAUUUAAUUCAAUUUGUUAAUCAUUUUUGUUUCUAUCUAAUUUGAGUACACUACAUGAUGUGAACAUAGAGGAAGAGAAUAGCAUGCAACUCUUUAUCAUUUGGAAGUUGCCUUGGUGAUUUAGAUAUUAACAUUGGAGAAUAACUCAGGUAAAUGCAAUACUCUGGUUGUGUUCAUCCUAAGUACUCUACCAAUUAUUCAAUAAUUAAGUGUUGUCUCACAUUUCUAAUAUGAUUUUUUAUAGUUGUGAAUUUGUAUGUGUGUGGAAUAAGGAAUACCUUUGUAAUGUUAUUUUAUGCAUUUAAAUUAGAUACAAUAUCAGACCAAAUUAU